UACUUUUAUCCCAGCGUUAGGUUCCCGCUCCGUCCUCACGCGGAGCCCGGAUUAAAAGGGAAUCCUGUGAAAAUCAGGAACUAUCCCCGUAGCUGUAAGUUCCUUUCAUGGACGGUACCUCUUGAGCCACUGCCGCUUAUCGCGGCGGGAAGGCGUACCUUCCGGAACAAGUCAGAAGACCUGCCGGCGCUUCCAUUCGUAG
rfam:Alistipes indistinctus YIT 12060 genomic scaffold supercont1.1, whole genome shotgun sequence.